CGGAGGAUGAAGUGGCUGAUGACUGUGAAUCCUCCAAGAGGCGAGUUCACCGUCGGGUCUCUGAUUUUAACUUCGAGCCUCUGAUUUUAACUUCGAGUCUCUGAUUUUAACUUCGAGUCUCUGAUUUCAACUUCGAGUCUCUGACUUCAACAACCACAUGGAUGUCCCAGGAAUGGCACAUUAUAAACUGAAAAUGUGAAGAUAUUAUGAUAGUAAAGUUGAGCAAGUUUGAGGUCUUGGUUA